rnacentral:rRNA from 1 species
CUGGCGGCGUGCCUAACACAUGCAAGUCGAACGAGAAAGUGGAGCAAUCCAUGAGUAAAGUGGCGACCGGGUGAGUAACACGUGACUAACCUACCUCCGAGUGGGGAAUAACUCCGGGAAACCGGGGCUAAUACCGCAUAACAUCGCAAGAUCAAAGCAGCAAUGCGCUUGGAGAGGGGGUCGCGGCUGAUUAGCUUGUUGGCGGGGUAACGGCCCACCAAGGCGAAGAUCGGUAUCCGGCCUGAGAGGGCGCACGGACACACUGGAACUGAAAUACGGUCCAGACUCCUACGGGAGGCAGCAGUGGGGAAUUUUGCGCAAUGGGGGAAACCCUGACGCAGCAACGCCGCGUGGAGGAUGAAGCCCUUUGGGGCGUAAACUCCUUUCGACUCGGACGAUAAUGACGGUACGAGUGGAAGAAGCACCGGCUAACUCUGUGCCAGCAGCCGCGGUAAUACAGAGGGUGCGAGCGUUGUUCGGAAUUAUUGGGCGUAAAGGGCGCGUAGGCGGUGCGGUAAGUCACCUGUGAAAUCUCCUGGCUUAACUGGGAGCCUGCAGGCGAAACUACCGUGCUGGAGUGUGGGAGAGGUGCGUGGAAUUCCCGGUGUAGCGGUGAAAUGCGUA